rnacentral:tRNA from 2 species
GGGGCGGAUGUAGCCAAGUGGAUCAAGGCAGUGG